rnacentral:rRNA from 1 species
AUUGAACGCUGGCGGCAGGCCUAACACAUGCAAGUCGAGCGGAUGAAGGGAGCUUGCUCCUGGAUUCAGCGGCGGACGGGUGAGUAAUGCCUAGGAAUCUGCCUGGUAGUGGGGGAUAACGUCCGGAAACGGGCGCUAAUACCGCAUACGUCCUGAGGGAGAAAGUGGGGGAUCUUCGGACCUCACGCUAUCAGAUGAGCCUAGGUCGGAUUAGCUAGUUGGUGGGGUAAAGGCCUACCAAGGCGACGAUCCGUAACUGAUCUGAGAGGAUGAUCAGUCACACUGGAACUGAGACACGGUCCAGACUCCUACGGGAGGCAGCAGUGGAGAAUAUUGGACAAUGGGCGAAAGCCUGAUCCAGCCAUGCCGCGUGUGUGAAGAAGGUCUUCGGAUUGUAAAGCACUUUAAGUUGGGAGGAAGGGCAGUAAGUUAAUACCUUGCUGUUUUGACGUUACCAACAGAAUAAGCACCGGCUAACUUCGUG